UUCUCUUCUUUUUUCUUCCUCUCUGCCUCAUGUUCUUCUCUGCUCGUGUUCUGAGAGAAGAGUUUGUGAAAUAGAAGAGAAACUUAAGGGAAAACAUGGCGAGUUGGUCGUUGGUGAUGAUGUUAUGUUUUUUUGAGAACGGGAUGAAGAUGGUAGAGUUGUUACUGUCAAUUGAAGAUGUGAUUCCUAAAGUUAGGGUUUGAGUGGAAUUGAGAUGUAAAUCGUGUUGCUGAUAGAUAAAUAGGAAGAGGAUUGUUGUUAAUUGCUGCUAUUGAGUGGUUUCGAUGGUUGAAUCAAAGUUAGGGUUCUGUGAGUUGAAGAUGAUGAUUUGAUUGAAUGAAAUAACAGGAAAUUAAAGGACGAGUUUGAUAGUUUUGAAGAGUCUGAUUGAAGUUGGAGUUUGAAUCAGAGAAAAUAAGAUUUAGGAAUUGAAUUAGGGUUCAGUUGAAGACUAGUGGCGAUGGAUGAACUGAACUGUAGAGGUUUGGGAAUUAUUCAAGAGUUUACUGUGUAUGGAUGAGAGCGAAGAAGAUUGUUGAGGGUUGGUUGAACAGAACUUGUGGGGUGGUGAUAGUUUUGAGAAGAUUUUUUGGAUGGAUUCAAAACAAAGAAGAAUUGAUUCAACUAUUUGGGGAGAAACUAUUUUGAGGUAAUUGUUCUUUUAGUUCAGUUAGUAAUGUUUUGUUUGUCUUCAUUUUGGGUUCAUGAGCUAUGAGAUGUAGAUAUGAAGAUGAAUCUGAAUCAGUUUGUGAUGAAUGUUGAAUUGGUGAAGAGGUUAAACCUUAUAAGAAUAAUGGUAGCCAUAUUGGGUUGUGUUGGUGCUUGUAGUUCUGAAGUGUCAAUAUUAGGUUGGAGUGAUGAACUGUAGAUGAAUUUGAUGGUGGAAGAGCAAUAGUUGCUGAGAUUAAUAUCGCAAAGAUGUUUGUAGGAUAGAGGUUCCAGUGCAGGCUUGCAACUGCUCUUAUAGUUAGUUUAUAUUAACAACGAUCGAUUCAAGGACGAACCAGCGGAUCGUGGAUCUCGAGGUAGGCGUGGCUUGUCAUCAAAAGAGUUUUCAGAGACAGAACAGAGGUGCGCAGCGAAAGUCACAAGUGUUGACUCCGUUAAUUAGUUAACUUCCGCUAUGUUUAUUAUGUUACUUAUUGUAUCUGUAAACCAAUUGACUAUUGUAUAUGUAUCAUUUGAGAGAAGUUCAUGUAUAUAUAUUCUGAGCGAGGUUAGUUUUGGGAUAAGUUUUGUAGCAAAUUUCUGAAUUGAAUGUUUAAGUAUUUGAAUUAGAUUCGUAGUGCCUCUUUAUUUAGU